AAGGGAGAAAAGUAGGACGUUUCCUCCCGCGUGUAAAAUUUCAAACACGCGGGAUGAGAUGUCCUACUUUUUUCCCGC